CAGAUGUAUGCUUUAAGGUGAGCGAGAGCUUAGCUUCUAAACCAGGAAGCAAUUCUGAAGACACUUACUGUAAAGAUGAAGUAAAAACCAAAGAUGCCUUUAAUAUUGGUGCAGUGUGCGCUCAAAAGAAACGAAAGCAUUCUGACCCCACUACUGGUACAGAGUUGAAACCAUGUGAACCAAGGUUGAUUGCACCGCACCUUCUAACUCGAAGCGACUACGAAUGUAGCCUUUGUUUUCGGCUGCUUCACA